rnacentral:rRNA from 1 species
CAAUAGCGUAUAUUAAAGUCGUUGCGGUUAAAAAGCUCGUAGUUGGAUUUCUGCCGAGGACGUCCGGUCCACCCUCUGGGUGUGUACAUGGCACGGCCUGGGCAUCUUCUUGGGGUACGUAUCUGCACUUGACUGUGUGGUGCGGAAUCCAGGACUCUUACUUUGAGGAAAUUAGAGUGUUUCAAGCAGGCACGCGCCUUGAAUACAUUAGCAUGGAAUAAUAAGAUAGGACCUCGGUUCUAUUUUGUUGGUUUCUAGAGCUGAGGUAAUGAUUAAUAGGGAUAGUUGGGGGCAUUCGUAUUUAACUGUCAGAGGUGAAAUUCAUGGAUUUGUUAAAGACGGACUACUGCGAAAGCAUUUGCCAAGGAUGUUUUCAUUGA